rnacentral:lncRNA from 1 species
GGAAAUAGACGGACGGAUGCUUCUUUCACUCUUCAAUGGAACAGUUCUUUACAAACACCAAAACAUACAGGUAAAACUUGAGAGAAAAAGAUCGGUCCCUUCUACUAUUACAGACAUGCUAUUUAUAAGAGAUGGAGAGGGGAGGGUAAGAUUGUCUUUUCCUUCAUGGCACGUGCUCGGUACGUCUUUGACGUCGUUGUCACUGGUGGUUGUCCUUGCUCCAACGGCCUUGCAGCUUUUGUAUCUUUCAGAAAGUAGUUGGGAGCUCUUUGCUCGUGCCGUCGUCUCUUAGGUGUUGAAGCCUGCGCUACCUUCUCCAAAGGAUGCCGGUGCUGCGCCGACCUCUCUUAGGGUGGUGGUGGCUGCACUGCUCCUUCAGAGAGAUGGGGUGACUGUGCUGCUCCUUCUAGGGGUGGAAUGACUGCGCUGCUCCUUCAAGGGGUGGAAUGACUGCGCUGCUCCUUCAAGGGGUGGAAUGACUGCGCUGCUCUCUCAAAGGGGCACUGGGAUCUCCGUUCUUUGUCCUGCACUGUUAGUUUUCCUAUCUUGUGCGAUAAUCAUUAAGGCAGUAGAUACUUCAUAUUGGUAGCACAUGGAAUACGGGUCGUGUGCUGCGCUGAUGAGGACCUUAUCCCUCAUCA